rnacentral:rRNA from 1 species
UACCAGCACCCCGAGUGGUCGGGACGUUUAUUGGCCUAAAGCAGCCGUAGCCGGUUCUACAAGUCUUCCGUUAAAUCCAACUGCUUAACAGGUGGGCUGCGGAAGAUACUAUAGAGCUAGGAGGCGGGAUAAGCAAGCGGUACUCGAUGGGUAGGGGUAAAAUCCGUUGAUCCAUUGAAGACCACCAGUGGCGAAGGCGGCUUGCCAGAACGCGCUCGACGGUGAGGGAUGAAAGCUGGGGGAGCAAACCGG